GCUACAUCUAUAUUUACCCAAAAUUCUUGAGAAUAAAUAAAAGGACCCCCUUUAGCACACCCCAUUUACCUAUAUCACAGUCAUCCCAGGCCGUUGUGCAAUAUUACUCAUUGCAUAACCAAUGGAAAAUAUAUAUUGAUAAGUCAGAGUUCGAGUGGUUGCAUGGCCGAAAAUCUCAAUUAAGCCAAAGGUGCAACAGCCUCGUUCGGCUGCAGCUUGUAUUUUGUAUAUCGUACUUUGUGUUUUGUACCUGUUGUGGAAAAUUCAACUCGACCAACCUACACACAGUGGGAAUUUUCAACUGGCAGCGCUUCAAACUGGCACAGUGGGACGGAACCCACCCACCGAGCGCUAUUGAGGCUCUUCUCACACCCCGUGACUCUGCCGAGGGUUAAUUUGUCCUCUAUAAGGAUACGUAUGCGAGCGAGGGCAAAAACCGAAGAGUGAGAGAGAUGCCUGCCGGUAUUGUGCCGAGUUUUAGCAAUGAUUAGCAUCACGAAAUGGAAAACUAUUGUUCCAAUACGCAGUCGACAACCAGUUUGAUUUGGCCAGUGAAACUUUUGGAGCUGCAGGCUCCUCUAAGGACGGUCAAUAUCCAGAUCCCCCUGCCCCUGGAUUUGGCAACCCCCUCCCCCUGAAAACCCAACAACAACAGUGAGCAGCUGAAGUUUCUGGCCAGGAGAAAGAGAGGGCAACAUUUGCGGCUGCCUGGCAACCGAGUCGAGAGCAAAAGAGAUGGGCUGCGAUGAAGAGCAGUGCAGAAUAAGGCAUCGAGAACAACAACAACAAGAAGGCUGCGGCAGCAGCAACAGCUACAAUGCAGCGGCAGCGCUGCCGACGUCGUCGUUGUGUAUAAAAAUUUAACAUCUGCUCCUUUCAUGAUUUCAGUUUCGGAAAACUCAA